CACGAACGCUGGCGGCAGGCUUAACACAUGCAAGUCGAGCGCCCCGCAAGGGGAGCGGCAGACGGGUGAGUAACGCGUGGGAAUCUACCCAUCUCUACGGAAUAACGCAUGGAAACGUGUGCUAAUACCGUAUACGUCCUUCGGGAGAAAGAUUUAUCGGAGAUGGAUGAGCCCGCGUUGGAUUAGCUAGUUGGUGGGGUAAAGGCCUACCAAGGCGACGAUCCAUAGCUGGUCUGGGAGGAUGAUCAGCCACACUGGGACUGAGACACGGCCCAGACUCCUACGGGAGGCAGCAGUGGGGAAUAUUGGACAAUGGGCGCAAGCCUGAUCCAGCCAUGCCGCGUGAGUGAUGAAGGCCCUAGGGUUGUAAAGCUCUUUCACCGGUGAAGAUAACGACGGUAACCGGAGAAGAAGCCCCGGCUAACUUCGUGCCAGCCGCCGCGGUAAAAC
rnacentral:rRNA from 1 species